rnacentral:rRNA from 1 species
UGGGGAAUAUUGGACAAUGGGCGCAAGCCUGAUCCAGCCAUACCGCGUGGGUGAAGAAGGCCUUCGGGUUGUAAAGCCCUUUUGUUGGGAAAGAAAUCCAGCUGGCUAAUACCCGGUUGGGAUGACGGUACCCAAAGAAUAAGCACCGGCUAACUUCGUGCCAGCAGCCGCGGUAAUACGAAGGGUGCAAGCGUUACUCGGAAUUACUGGGCGUAAAGCGUGCGUAGGUGGUCGUUUAAGUCCGUUGUGAAAGCCCUGGGCUCAACCUGGGAACUGCAGUGGAUACUGGGCGACUAGAAUGUGGUAGAGGGUAGCGGAAUUCCUGGUGUAGCAGUGAAAUGCGUAGAGAUCAGGAGGAACAUCCAUGGCGAAGGCAGCUACCUGGACCAACACUGACACUGAGGCACGAAAGCGUGGGGAGCAAACAGGAUUAGAUACCCUGGUAGUCCACGCCCUAAACGAUGCGAACUGGAUGUUGGGUGCAAUUUGGCACGCAGUAUCGAAGCUAACGCGUUAAGUUCGCCGCCUGGGGAGUACGGUCGCAAGACU